AUUGAACGCUGGCGGAAUGCUUUACACAUGCAAGUCGAACGGCAGCACGGGUGCUUGCACCUGGUGGCGAGUGGCGAACGGGUGAGUAACAUAUCGGAACGUACCCAGUAAUGGGGGAUAACUAACCGAAAGGUUAGCUAAUACCGCAUACGCCCUGAGGGGGAAAGCGGGGGACCGUAAGGCCUCGCGUUAUUGGAGCGGCCGAUAUCUGAUUAGCUAGUUGGUAGGGUAAAGGCCUACCAAGGCGACGAUCAGUAGCAGGUCUGAGAGGAGGAUCUGCCACACUGGAACUGAGACACGGUCCAGACUCCGACGGGAGGCAGCAGUGGGGAAUUUUGGAAAAGGGGCGAAAGCCUGAUCCAGCCAUCCCGCGGGAGUGAAGAGGGCUUUGGGGUUGUAAGGCUCUUUCGGCAGGAAAGAAACGGUCUAGGUUAAUACCUUGGGCUAAUGACGUUACCUGAAGAAGAAGCACCGGCUAACUACGUGCCAGCCGCCGCGGUAA
rnacentral:rRNA from 1 species